CUUGCCUAUUUCUCCAUUCCCUUGGAGCUCAUAUAUUUUGUGCAGAAAUCCGCUUUCUUUCCGUACAGAUGGGUGCUUGUGCAGUUCGGUGCUUUCAUUGUUCUUUGUGGAGCAACCCAUUUCAUAAAUGUAUGGACUUUCUCUAUGCACACCAAAACUGUUGCCAUAUUCAUGACUGUUGCCAAGGUUUCGUGUGCCGUUGUAUCGUGUGCUACCGCUCUAAUGCUCGUUCACAUUAUCCCGGAUUUGCUAAGCGUCAAGAAACGGGAGCUGUCGCUGAAGAGCAGAGCUGAAGAGCUUGACAAGGAGAUGGGGCUUAUGCUCACUCAGGAAGAAACAGGAAGGCAUGUUAGGAUGCUGACUCAUGAAAUUCGAAGCACGUUGGAUAGGCACACUAUAUUGAAAACUACCCUUGUUGAGUUGGGUAGAACUCUAGGCCUCCAGGAAUGCGCGUUAUGGAUGCCGUCCAGAACUGGUAUGAACCUACAGCUUUCUCACACUCUGAACUACCACAUACAAGCUGGGUCAUCUGUGUCAAUGGACCUUCCUGUUGUCAACGAAGUCUUCAACAGUUCUCGGGCAAUUCGUAUACCAUAUACCUGCCCACUGGCAAGAAUCAGACCGCUUGUGGGAAGAUAUGUACCACCUGAGGUUGUUGCUCUGCGGGUGCCCCUUUUAAAUCUUUCAAAUUUUCAAAUCAAUGACUGGCCGGAUGUCUCUGCCAAAAGCUACGCAAUCAUGGUUUUGAUUCUACCCACGGAUGGCACCAGAAAGUGGCGAGAACAUGAACUGGAGCUGGUUGAUGUUGUGGCAGAUCAGGUGUGUUUUGUUGUUCACUCGUUCCGUUUUCACUGAAUGACUUGCCAUCGUGAUACAUGACUCUUUUUCUUUGUAUUUCACAAUGCUUAUUUGCGUACUGUUCGGGUGCUGUUUGCAUCUGAAGUUCAUGAAUUGAAAGGCUAAUGUAUUAACAACUGAUCUGUCACUUGUCUUCCUUAUGAUUCCUAUACACGUACUUAAAGGUUAUAACAAGUGUGGUUGUGCUCAGGUAGCUGUUGCUCUUUCACAUGCUGCUAUUCUGGAAGAGUCUAUGCGAGCCCGUAAACAGCUCACGGAGCAGAACGAUGCUUUAGAUUUAGCUUGGAGAGAAGCAGAGAUGGCAAUCCAUGCCCGCGAUGAUUUCCUUGCUGUCAUGAACCAUGAAAUGAGGACACCAAUGCAUGCAAUCAUUGCAUUGUCUUCUCUUCUGUUAGAGACGGAACUGACUCCGGAAGAAAGGCUUAUGAUAGAGACAGCACUAAAGAGUAGCAACCUUUUGGAAACACUUGUUAAUGAUGUUUUAGAUCUUUCUAGACUUGAAGAUGAUAACCUAGAAUUAGACACUGAAAGAUUUAACCUCCAUGGAAUUUUCAGAGAGGUAAACUUUCCAGACUCAGGGCUUGAAUGUGUACUUUGGAAUAAUUUGGUUUUCGUGAACUUACAUACAAACCUUUUACAAACUGUAGGUAAUGAAUUUGGUACAGCCCGUCGCAUCUGUGAAGAAGUUGUCUAUGACUUUGAUUCAAUCCCCUGACUUACCUGUGUAUGCCGUUGGAGAUGAGAAUCGGCUGUUGCAAACUAUUCUCAACGUUGCCGGUAAUGCUGUGAAGUUCACAAAGCAGGGCUAUAUUUCAAUUACAGCAUCUGUUGCGAAAUCAGAAUCUUCAAGAGACUGGCAACCGCCGGAGUUUUAUCCAGGGUCAACUGAUGGUUACUUCUACCUACGAGUUCAGGUCAAUUAUUGUGCGUUUUAUCGCUGUUUAGCUUUACUUUGUGUGCUGAGGUCGAUACAUCUCUUAGUAACUUCGACAGUGAAGCAACGUGAUCUGAUGGCAUUCCUGUUGCAGGUUAAGGAUUCUGGCUGUGGUGUUCUCCCAGAAGAUAUUCCUCAUCUUUUCACCAAGUUUUCUCAGCCCCGAAAUGGAUCCAAUCAAAUAAACAACGGUGCAGGACUUGGACUUGCCAUUUGCAAACGGUAUGGUUGAAAACUUUCCGAUCUUUCAUCAUUUCCGUAGGGCAUUUAAAAACUUGCAUCCUGCUUUUGUUUUCUCGCCUAUUCAUCCAACUUGGUCACCUUAUGUCCUGAAAUGACUUGGAUUAGGUUUGUAAACACCAUGGGAGGUCAUAUUUGGAUUGAAAGCGAGGGUAUCGACAGAGGGAGUAUCGUUGCAUUCAUCGUCCAACUAGGGAUAUGCGACAAUCAUAGUGAUACAACAACACACCAGGUCCAGAUUGCCACCUAAAGGACAAGCAAAUUAUGGAAGCGGAGAUCUCAUCGGACACAAACCCGCCUUUAGGGAUUGUUUCGGAAUAACUUCAUCGAAUGCACGUUAUCAAAGAAGUCUUUGAAUGCCAGUGGAUACACCGAUCAAUGUUUUCUGCCUGGCAGAGUUAUUAGCUCAACCGGGGAAUUUUGGUUUAGUAUGUUGAGGUUGGAAGAAAUUUGUGUGUUUAAAAUUGUGAACGUUGAUUGUUACUGUUAUCCUCAUCGUUACGAGGCCAUCAGUGGGAAAUGUUGCUUAAUUAGUGUUAAAUCCUCGUCCGAAUGAGGCAAACCAGGUAAUUAAAACCUGUUUGAUAGUCGAUACUCCAUUAUCUUAAAUCGU
rnacentral:lncRNA from 1 species